rnacentral:rRNA from 1 species
UACGAAGGGAGCUAGCGUUGUUCGGAAUCACUGGGCGUAAAGCGCACGUAGGCGGAUGUGUCAGUCAGGGGUGAAAUCCCGGAGCUCAACUUCGGAACUGCCUUUGAUACAGCACGUCUUGAGUCCGAUAGAGGUGGGUGGAAUUCCUAGUGUAGAGGUGAAAUGCGCAGAUAUCAGGAGGAACACCGGUGGCGAAGGCGCCACUCUGGGCCGGUACUGACGCUGAGGAGCGAAAGCGUGGGGAGCAAACAGG